rnacentral:rRNA from 1 species
GAUGAACGCUGGCGGCGUGCCUAAUACAUGCAAGUCGAGCGAACAGACGAGGAGCUUGCUCCUUCGACGUUAGCGGCGGACGGGUGAGUAACACGUAGGUAACCUACCUAUAAGACUGGGAUAACUUCGGGAAACCGGAGCUAAUACCGGAUAAUAUUUCGAACCGCAUGGUUCGAUAGUGAAAGAUGGCUUUGCUAUCACUUAUAGAUGGACCUGCGCCGUAUUAGCUAGUUGGUAAGGUAACGGCUUACCAAGGCAACGAUACGUAGCCGACCUGAGAGGGUGAUCGGCCACACUGGAACUGAGACACGGUCCAGACUCCUACGGGAGGCAGCAGUAGGGAAUCGUCCGCAAUGGGCGAAAGCCUGACGGAGCAACGCCGCGUGAGUGAUGAAGGUCUUCGGAUCGUAAAACUCUGUUAUUAGGGAAGAACAAACGUGUAAGUAACUGUGCACGUCUUGACGGUACCUAAUCAGAAAGCCACGGCUAACUACGUG